GAAAACAUUCAUCAUUAGAACAUGAAAAACUAAAAAACACAGUGUGAUGAAGUAUAAUGCAAUAAUAUGGAAAAAAUAAAGGUACAUUACAAUAACAGAAAGAAAUGAAAGUAGAAGCUUAUAAUAAACAAAAUACUGAGACUUAAUGCCUUUAUUAAGACUAUGCAUAUAAUUAUAAGAGACAGUAGACAACAUACUUUUAGAUAAUUUUAGAUAAGUGAUUGUUCAAGAUCCCUUCACGCAUAAACUCACAUGCUAGAGCCUUCAAACAUCAUUUAUGCAGUACCAAUCAAUUAACAAAAUUUUGAUAUUGUUGAUUUACUUUCUGCUGUCACUACUAGAAAAAGGUUAAUAGAGUACGGUUGAAAUUAUGAAUAUAGUACGUAGAUAGCAGGCGUACUAGUAGAGGGGUGUAUUAGAUUACAUGCAUAAUAAAGUACGGCUAUUUAACCGUAUUAUAUGUAUCUUAUACCAUCCCAUACAAUCAUUACAUACAAUCAUCUAGUACACCAUAUAUAAACAUCUAAUACACCAAAACAACCGUACUUGAUGUCUCAAGUAUCAUCUAAUACGCCAUAUAUACACAUCUAAUACACCAAUAAACAACUGUACUUGAUGUCUUAUUCAUUCCUAUUCCUAGCUUUGCAUUCCAGACUUUCCAGCCCAUUCUGGCUUUGCAUUCCAGCCUUAUUAAUCAACCAAUUCCACUUCAUGGAUGCUGUGGAACACAUGGAUCACCAUUCCAACUAUUCUAACUAAAAGAAACUCUUUAAUUUCUGCAAAGCUUUUAGCAUGUGAAUUGUAACCAAUUGAUCAAUCUCCAUAAAAUACAAACCUACUAUAUGAUUCCAUUCCAACCAUAAGAAGUGGGGCAUCACUGAUCAUGUUUUAAUUUUAAAAAACAGAAAAAAAAAAUUACAAUAACUAUUUAGUUCAUUAAACAUAAAAACAUUAAUAUUCUUUCAUACUACAAUCUAUACAAUCUAAAAGUUGUAUACCUAGUUCAUUAAACAUAAAAACAUUCUUAAAUUUGUUAAUGUCACACAUCUGACCUCUCUUUCCCCUUUGUGGCUAAUUCAGUGUAUGCCUACAAAAACAAGAAAACUUAGGAUUCAAAAUCUUAAAUAACUUUUAAUGAAGAAAACUCAAAUUAUUGGACAUUCCUGCCAUUAACAACUUCAUCUAUAGCAAUGCAAGGGUGAAAACUUCUCCACAACAUAAAAAAAUAUGAGCAAAUACAACAUGAAAUACAAGGGAUGUUUGUGUACCUCCAUAACAACAACCUCCCUAACUUGAAAUCUGCAAACUUCCACAAUAAAACACAAAAUAUAGCAUCCUACUUUUAUAUAUCUCAUUUUCCAUAAAAAAAACUUUCGUCCAAUUCCUCACUAGAAAAUGGUUUUUUGAAAAACAUAACCAAUUAUAACAAUGUAUAUAGAACAACUAACCGUUAACUUGAAAAAGACUUCACUUUAUCUCCAAAAGUUCUCAUCCAUGUUUUAACACGUUCAUCCAAUUCCUCACUAGAAAAUGGUUUUUUGUCCUUCCAAAUGUUCUACAAACAAAUUAAGAUAAAAAAUUUGUUAUUUAACAAAGGUGACCCACUAGUACAAUAAACAAAAAUGCAAAAAAAUAUCUAACAAUAUACUUACAUUCGGAAAUCCAUGUUGUCGAAAAAGUACAAACUCAUGCAUCCAGUUCAUAACGUAGUAACCACACUCCAAUCAGACAAUUGUUGAUUGCACUAAAAGGAUUAUAUACGUAUGAGAUUGGAAUAGUCUCUGAAUCUUUUGGUCCUGGACAGAAAAUUUUGAAAGGAUCAAUGUGAUUGAAGAUUACACAGAAGAUGAAUUGAAAUUGGAAUCUUGUGCAAAGAUAUAGAAAUCUUUUCUCCUAUUCACUUUUCUUUUUUACUUACAGAAGGGUAAAAUGGUCAUUUACUCAUUUACUCACAUUAAGAAAGUUGAUAUUAUAUGAUUAUAUCUUGUAUUUGUGAAUCAGUUACUUGAAUAUUUUUCUGAAAGAAUGAUAUCUGAUGAGACAUUAAGGAGAAAUCAUGUCAUGCAAAGAAGAUAUGAAAAACAGAUAGAAAGAGUUUACUAAUUAUCAAAUAACAUUAACCACUUGUUUUCUAGCCUCAGAUAAUCAAGAAAAACAAUGCAUGUUAUGUGGAACUGAAUUUUGACAAAUAUUACCUGAGGAAAACGUCGAAGAGCCAAUCCUAAGUUCCUGCCCAAGUGAGGCUGCUGCUAUAGGAGAAGUUGUGAGCUCUGAAUAAAUGUUUGGUGAAAGUGUAUGAUGAGAUUAUUUUGAUGCAGUGCUCGGUGGAUUCUCAAUUGGAAUUGAUGAUGUUCAACCUGGGGAUAAUUUGUAUCACAACACAAACAGAAUCAUUUCACAAGGGAAUAAAAAAUGUGAUAAUUUCAUACCCGAUUUAAUAAAGGAAACCUCAAGUGCCAACCUGGUUGCAGUGCUGCUCAAACUGACAGCCUAAACUACCAACAUGGCAUCAUCAAAUCUAACAUCAUAAUAGCGAGACUAACAAGUUCCCUUUUGUUAUCUGAGGUCCCUAAUAUGGUCAUGCUAAUCAAUUUGUAUUAUAAUGUACAGUGCAAAAUGACUAUUUUGCCCAUUUGGUUGCCACCGGAAAAAGAGUUGAUUUAGAUCAACAUCCUGAGCUUACAAAGGGUUGUGUCAAUAUAUUCCGUUAAAAGCGGAAUGCUUGAGGUAAUGCCUGUUGUAAUCUUGAUGUGUUUAUAACUAUAUAUAUAUAUAGUGUGUGUGUGUGUGUUUGGUGUCCUAAAUAAGAUCAGAGAUGAAACUGGAAAGGUAAUAUUAAAUAUCUCCAUCCAUUUGUUUGUUUUCUAUCAACUAUUGAUGCAAUCAAGAUUGUAAACCAUAUAAAAUAAAUUGGGAUAAAACUAUGCAAAAGUUUUGUUUCACUGAUGGAAAACAAAUACAUUUUUGAAAUUCAUAUUGACACAUUUUUUUGUUUCUUUGACUUGUUGGCAUCCAUAGCUGACAAGUUAUCACAGGAGAGUGAAAGUUCUACUUCAAUCACCAGUCCAGAACAAAAAGACCAGAUUACCCUCCAUAAAGAAUCACCACAUUCUGAUAAUGAUUCUAGUUUGGAACAUGUUUCUGAUGUGAAAACUAAUGUGAAGUUUGAACCAUGUAAAGGCAAGAAUGUAGAUAAAAUGGAGGGAGAUUUAUGUAAUUUUAAGUUGUUUAACAGUAUAGCUGAAAUACAGACCGAGGGAGUAAAUGUAAAGAAACAAAAUGGAGACUUUACUGCUAGUGACCCAAUGGAAUCAUGUGUAAAUACUCGUGUGCUUACUAAAUCAUACAGUAGUUUAAAUCUACCCUCCAAAAGUAGGUUACUAGAAAUUAAUAUGAUUAUGAUAUCAUAGACCAGUUGAAAUUGUCGAUUACUAGAAAUUUUACUGAUUAUGGUCUAAUAAACCAACAACUGAGUAGCAUUUAUACUUUUACACAGUAUAACCAUUAUCGACUCCUAGCCAACAAGCAGCAUUGCAUAAACACAACAUUAAUCAAAGAAAACAUUGUCAUAAACAGAACAUUAAUCAAAGAAGGCCGAUCGUACCUGUAAACAACGUGAAAGGAGGAGGCGGAAGCAGCUGUAGGGCGGAGUAGGAGACUUCGUCUGUGUCUUCGACCGAAGACCGGAGGCAGAGGCGUCGUUGGCCAGAGGCGGAUGCGGAGGCGUCGUCGGCUGAAGGCGAAGGCUUCGUCGUUCUCGUGAUAAGCAAACAAGUACACGCAAAAGGGAACGUAAUUGCAAUUUUGACUUUUGGGUCAAUUUUGUUAAGUUUGCAAUUUUUACUUUUGACCGAUGAUGAAUUGAAUAUGUGCUCAUAUGGGCUACUGAUGGGCCCCUUCAAUAUACAAAUCCAUAUAAAAGAAAAAUGGGAUUCACGUUCAUAUAUAUGUAAAAAGGACAAAAAAAAUUCUAUUUUUUUUUUCUUUUGUUUCUUGUUUAAUAAAAGGGAAUGUAAUUGCAAUUUCAAUAUAUUAAUAUCAUGUGAAAAAAAUUGAUGCCGAACCAAAAUGAACAUAUUAAAAAUUAAAAUGAACAUAUUAAAAAGUAAAAUAAUUAAAUAUAUUUAUCAAAUAAUUAUAUCAAUAUUAUAUUUUUCUCUUUGAAUUCAUAAAAGGAAGAAGGGGAAAUGAAGGUGAUGAGCAAUUGAGCAUUUAGUGAUGAACAAAGAUUAAUGUUCAUCACUAAAACAUGACUUUGUAUAAUAUAGAACAUAUUACAUGUGACAUAAACAUCAAAAACUCAACAUAGUUUUUAUCCUCGCAUCAUGUUGAUACUACACAAGUUUUUCAUAAUGCAAUCAUAGUAAAUCUCCCCAUGAAGAACCUCAACUGCAAUUAUCACUGUUAUUGUCCUCCAGUGUCGUGUCGUCUGUGUUGCUGCAAACAAAAAUGUAUUAAAUACAUACAUAAUACUAUCUUCAUAUGUUUCAAAUUUACAUUAAAUUAUAUUUUUUAUUUUUAGAUCAAACAAAGGGUUUAUUACCUUUCUUCAACAUAUGAUCCUUCGUUAUGGUCCGAUCUUAAGUAAGCAGCGUCAUUAAUAUCAACAUUCAUAGAUGGAAUACCGAUAGAAAAUGGAGGUAGGUUAUCAUGGAUGUCAUCCUCUGAAUCAUCUGUAUCAUCAUAAUUAGAUUCGACAUCAAUUGUGUUGUGAUCAAUCAAUAACUCGCCAUGUUGUGAUCAACACGUAUAUCGAUUCAUAAAUCCUUCAAAUAUCAUAUAUUCUUCUAUUACAUCCAAAUCAUAGACCUUUUUACAAUUUUGGUACAUUUUACAAGGACACCAAAUGUAACAUUCUCCUCUAUGCACCCGACGAUCCUCAACAACUUUAAGAAACUUCUUGAGGUUAUGUACAUAUUCACUGCUAGCCCAUGGUAGUCCAUACAUCCAAGUUUCAUGAUACACCUGUGUAAUAAAAUACCACAAAAAGAAAGGAUUAGAGUCAUCCCACAAAAUAAUAACAAUGUAAAAGGUAUAAUAUAAUAUAAAAUAUAAAUAUUAACUAUCUGUUCUAUCAAUGGGUCGGUUGUUCUCAGUAACGUACAGCUCCAAGAGCGUGCAAUACUCAAGGACUGUCAAGUAGUAUUUUUCAUUCCAAUGUUCAUGUUAAUUACAAUUGAUUUUAACAAGAGGGUGUUUGAAUUUUAAGAUUCCAAUAAUUUUGUUUGGGGACAAUAAUUUUGGGGAGGGAGUAAUACUUACUUCUAAAUUAGUUCAGCUAGGUUUGAUAUUAAUAUCUAACACUUUUAUUUUAUUUUUUUUCAUUUUCCUUUUCCUUUUUUUGAUUAACUACUUUUUUUUAGAUUCUUUUUAGCAUAAUUUCAGAGUGGAGGAUAUCUUUUUCAGGUAUCAUAAAAGCGGCCUUAAUGCAGUUUUUGGUACAUCAAAAUAUAUUUCCGACAAGAACAGUUUUUGGUUUUGGAGAAAUUAAGAAAACAAGUUACGGAAAAUAAGGUGGGGAAGGGCUUUUCUGGAAUUGGAAUCGGAAUUGGAAUUGUUUGUGAUUUCCGUGAACUAAUGGCGGGAGUUGUCACAUUGCAAUCAAGUAAAAAAUGCGUUUUUAUUUUUUUAUUUUGUCCAAAUUUGAAUUUUUGUUACACCUGUUUGCAGUUAUUCAUGGUGAAAAUUCAAGAAGGAAGAUAUUUUAGCCAUGUCUGCAGCUGGAAGAUGUCUACAAAGGUAAUUUUAUUUUAUUUUAGAAACUAAAUAUAAUUAUAAUAACAAAAUGGUUGUUUUUUUGUAUAUAGGGUAUGUUGCAAGAUAAUCUUCCGAUUAUGCCCUCGGAUGUUAUAGAGCUGCAGAGGCUGAUCAUCAAGGGAGACAUGUCCCUGACUCAAAAGGAGCAAGAAAAUACAGCUUUGAGGGACCAAAUUAAACAAUUUGAAACACAUUGGUCUAAACAUGAAAUUAAAAUGAAGUCUGUGGAGGAAACUUGGCAAAAACAGAUUGCUUCUUUACAGGUCACUUUACCAUUUUACCCUUUUACAAUUUGGAAUUUUGUCUUGUGAUUAACCUUAGUUGGUUUGGGCUAGUGACUUUACCCUUCUACAAUUGAGUUUAAUUUCUUACCCUUUUACCAAUGAAUUUACAUUAUUAUCCUUUUUUUACAAGUGAUUUUACCUUUAUACCCUUUUACAAAUAAGUGAGUUUACUUACCAUAUGGUUUGUUGUUGAAUGGUGCAGAAGAGUUUGGUUGCAGCCAAGAAGAGUUUUGGGGGAGGGGAUUCAGGGGGGAUGGCAUUAGCAGCAUUUCUUUAGGAACUCAAACUCUUGUGGAAUACAAUGGUGGUGGGGUGGUGGCGGAUCAUCUAUCAAAGGAGUUGGAUCAAAAAACACAUGAUUUUGAUGAUGAUGCUAAAACCAUUAUUGGACAACAACAACAACAGAUGCCUUAUCUCAAACAAAUGGAAAAGUUUAAGAAGGUCAAAGAUAGAUUUGAAAUAUGGAAGAAAGAGUACAAGAAUCGAUUAAAGGAGACAAGGGCAAAAUUGGUAAAAGGUGUAAAUGGGGAAGGAGGGACAAAACUGUCAUGGUAGGGGAAGUUAAGCAAGAGAUAUUAACUAGUGUUUAUAGGUUUGCUUGCUCAUGUUGUUUAGAAAAAGAAAAAAAAAGGAAAAUCUUAUAUCAAAUGGUAAGGUGUUAUUUUUUUUCUUCUUAUUUUAUAUUGUUAGGGUAUUGGGUUUCAACUGUUAUAGUGAACUGUGAAAAUAUAUGAAAAGAUAAAUGUUUGUUUUUUUUUUCAAUUGUGAUAAUUUGAUUUGGUUUCUUGAUUUGGUAUUUUGAUUUGGAUGGGUGUCAUGUGUUUAAGUUAUAUAUUGUAUCAUAUAUGUUUAGAUUCUGGUUUUUUCAUUUGGAUUGAAUCAUGUGGUUUUGCUCAAUGUAUGUUUAGUUCUUAACUUCAAACUAGAUAUUAUGUUUAAGAUAAGUCCUUAAUUUUAUAUUUAUGAUUAUAAGUACAUUCUUUUCAUUUAUAGACGUAGGGUAAAUUGGGUUUAUUUUCAUAAAAAUAGAAACAAAUUUUAUGAAUGUAGUGUUUUAUUCAUUUAUUCAGAUAUUUUGACAGGCUUGAUGAAAAAGGGAAUGUGGUCUCUGUUAGUUACAAUGUUCAUGUUAAUUACAAUUGAUUUUAACAAGUGGGUGUUUGAAUUUUAGGAUUCCAAAGUCAUUUGGUUAAAAUUAAACAAUAAGUUUUCAAAAUAGAGAUCCUACCAUUUGAUUUUGCAUCUCGAUCACAGACGCUCCCUUAUCCAUCGAGAAAUAGUUGUAGUUCCUUGUAUUUUUGCCUGUGUUUGUCUGUUGCAAAAACAGAAAUCAAAGCUCUUGCCGUAUGAUGAUGAUGGUCCGGUGGUGGGUUGGUUGAAUUAUUGGAGGUGCGAGGCGAGGCUAGCCGGUGAUGAUGGUGUUGCGACAGGGGAGAUAGAGAUAAAGGACCGAUUAGUGGUGUAGAGAUGGAGGAAGGGUGGUGUUAAGGUGUUGGGUUGGGCGGAGAAGUGUAGGAGGAGGAAGCUGAGUACUAGAUGUUGUAAGUUGAGGAAGCUGAGUACUUAUUCAGCGUAUUCAAUUUAGGUAUUGAGCUGUACUUUAUUCCAAAAUGUGGCGUAUUUUAUUUAGGUAUUUGAUCUUGUUUCUAGUACAGCACAUUAACCGUAUUAGAUGUUGUAAUUGGGCGUAUUAUAUUUAUUUAGCCCUUUCUAAUACGGUUUUUAUUUACAACCGUAUUAGAUGUGGGUGUACUGUAUAGCCUGUUUUCCAGUAGUGUGUCAAAAAAUAAAACAAUAAUUAAUAAUGAAAACUUGGGUCAAAAAGGUUAACGAAAAUGAACAUUAGAUUAGAAAAAGGAAGUAUUAAUUCUCAAACAUUCUUGAAUUAAAGAAGUAGAAUUGAAAGGAAUGUGAAGGGAUCAUUGAAGUUUUACCAUAGUAGUACAAAUGAUCUGAUUGAAUUAUCGACUUUAUAUCUUGAAGUCAUACGAGUGUUGAUAAAUUAUUAUAUGUUCCGACAGCCAACUAUAGCCCACUCCUCCUCGCACCAGGAUUCAAAUGUUUAUAUGGUCUAGACCUAUUCGUCUUCUCAUAUACAUUACAAAAUGAUUUUACAAUCCAUUAGAACCAUAAAACCACCUAAUAUUUGUAUUACUCCUCAUAGUUACAUAUAAAGGAGAUUAUAAUCAUACUUUCAGCAAAUAUCUCAUCACAUAAAUCAAUAUUCCAUUUUCAUCUCGACCAAUGCCUAUAUGGGUUCAAAGACAACCUAUAAAGUUAGAAACAUGGAAUCUAUGAAAUAAAAUAAAUAAAUAAAUAAACCUGUACAAAAAAGUGGGAUGGUUUUAAACAAAAAAAGCUCAGCAAUUUCACAAAACUCUAAAACGAAAAAUGAUAAUAAGAACAAUCGAGCCUGCAAAACUAAAAUCAAAGAGAUGCACACAUCAUACAAACACAGAAACACAAAGGGAUGCACUUUCUUCUUACUUAUAUUUGAGUGGAUAAGGAAAGAGGGCUGAGAUCUGGACAUCGGCUCGAG
rnacentral:lncRNA from 1 species